rnacentral:rRNA from 1 species
GAGUUUGAUCCUGGCUCAGAAUCAACGCUGGCGGCGUGCCUAACACAUGCAAGUCGAGCGAGAGGAAGUAGCAAUACUUUAGUAAAGCGGCGCACGGGUGAGUAACACGUGGAUAACCUGCCUCGAAGUGGGGAAUAACCCCGGGAAACCGGAGCUAAUACCGCAUAUUCUGACGAGAUCUGCGGAUUUUGUCAGGAAAGGAGCAAUUCGCUUUGAGAGGGGUCCGCGGCUGAUUAGCUAGUUGGUGAGGUAAUGGCUCACCAAGGCCACGAUCAGUAGCCGGUCUGAGAGGACGGUCGGCCACACUGGAACUGAGACACGGUCCAGACUCCUACGGGAGGCAGCAGUGGGGAAUUUUUCGCAAUGGGGGCAACCCUGACGAAGCAAUGC